rnacentral:misc_RNA from 1 species
UCCUUCUCCCCAGGCGGCAAUGCUGGCUCAAGAAACGGGUUUCUCUUUGUCCCAGCUGCCUGUAUCUCCUUCCCCUUCUCUGCGCUAUCCUCCGCCAAUGCAACCGCUGGAUGAAACCCAUCCGCGCCUGCCAUAGCCAGCCUUCGCUGCAAGCUGAGCAGGGAUUUCUCGGCCUUCCUCCGUUGCCGCACCUGCUCCACCUUGUCCACCCUGUCCUUGGUCGCCGAAGGCUCAUCCCACACCUCCGUGCUCACAUAGGUGUGCGGAUCCGGGAACGCAGGCAGCCACUCCGGCACGUGCUUCAACCCAGUCUCCCUCCCCGCCGCCGCCGCAGCCGGGCUGGCAGAGGGCUGCGGCUGCACGCGCUGGACGGGGAACCUAGGCAGCGGCCGCGCGAACGGCACCUCGUCCUUGGAGUCGACGAACGCCAUGAGGUCCCUGACGACGCCGGAACCAACGAGGCAGCGGCCCGUGUCCGCCGCGCCCGCGAAGCCGUCCGUGUCGGCGCCGACCUCCUCGAGCACCUGGAUGACGUCGAGUUCGUUGGCGAGCGCGCGGCCGGCGAGGUUGGCGUUGAAGGCGGCGGACCGGCCCAGGUGGGUGAUGUAGCGCAAGAGGACGUCGACGACCGCGUCCACCGCGGAGCGGUGCGCGCAGUCGAACCCCGCGGCCUCCAGCGCCUGCGCAACCGCGGCGCGUGCCACCGCCCGCCCGAACUCGUCCCCGCUGCCGCUGCCUCCUCCGCUCAUAUCUCCGCCGCUUCUCCUCCCCACGCCUUCCAGGCACUCAUGCCGCCGAAGCACCGAGCAGGGCUGGUCACAGAUCCGGACGGGCAGACGGCCGCUAGGGUUCAGAUCUCUCGGACUGCGCCACCGCCCGACCCGAAUCGAUUGACCCACGCUCAGCAACGCAUCGAAUCGAGCUCCUCCAGCUCGCUCUCGCUCCCGGCUGGCCGCCUGAGUGAUUCGAGCUGGAAUUCAAAUUCAAGCCACAAACGGUU